rnacentral:rRNA from 1 species
GUAGGUGGCAAGCGUUGUCCGGAAUUAUUGGGCGUAAAGCGCGCGCAGGCGGUCCUUUAAGUCUGAUGUGAAAGCCCACGGCUCAACCGUGGAGGGUCAUUGGAAACUGGGGGACUUGAGUACAGAAGAGGAAAGCGGAAUUCCAAGUGUAGCGGUGAAAUGCGUAGAGAUUUGGAGGAACACCAGUGGCGAAGGCGGCUUUCUGGUCUGUAACUGACGCUGAGGCGCGAAAGCGUGGGGAGCAAACAGGAUUAGAUACCCUGGUAGUCCACGCCGUAAACGAUGAGUGCUAAGUGUUAGGGGGUUUCCGCCCCUUAGUGCUGCAGCUAACGCAUUAAGCACUCCGCCUGGGGAGUACGGCCGCAAGGCUG